rnacentral:rRNA from 1 species
GUUAUAUGGUCAAGCGAAUAAGCGCACACGGUGGAUGCCUAGGCGGUCAGAGGCGAUGAAGGACGUGGUAGCCUGCGAAAAGUGUCGGGGAGCUGGCAACAAGCUUUGAUCCGGCAAUAUCCGAAUGGGGAAACCCACUGCUUCGGCAGUAUCCUGCAGUCAAUUCAUAGCUGCUGGAAGCGAACCCGGUGAACUGAAAUAUCUAAGUAACCGGAGGAAAAGAAAUCAACCGAGAUUCCCUAAGUAGUGACGAGCGAACGGGGAGCAGCCCUUAAGACUGGAAUGGCUUUAGAAAAACAAUCUGGAAAGAUUGGCCAUAGAAGGUGAUAGCCCUGUAUUUAAAAGGGCCACUCCAGUGAAGACGAGUAGGGCGGGGCACGUGAAACCCUGUCUGAAUAUGGGGGGACCAUCCUCCAAGGCUAAAUACUCCUGACCGACCGAUAGUGAACCAGUACCGUGAGGGAAAGGCGAAAAGAACCCCGGAGAGGGGAGUGAAAUAGAUCCUGAAACCGUGUGCGUACAAGCAGUAGGAGCUCGCAAGAGUGACUGCGUACCUUUUGUAUAAUGGGUCAGCGACUUACUGUUCGUGGCAAGCUUAACCGUAUAGGGGAGGCGAAGGGAAACCGAGUCUGAUAAGGGCGCAUAGUCGCGGGCAGUAGACCCGAAACCGGGUGAUCUAGUCAUGGCCAGGGUGAAGGUGCCGUAACAGGUACUGGAGGCCCGAACCCACGUCUGUUGCAAAAGACGGGGAUGAGCUGUGAUUAGGAGUGAAAAGCUAAUCGAACCCGGAGAUAGCUGGUUCUCCUCGAAAGCUAUUUAGGUAGCGCCUCGGACGAAUACUACUGGGGGUAGAGCACUGUUAUGGCUAGGGGGUCAUCGCGACUUACCAAACCAUUGCAAACUCCGAAUACCAGUACGUACUAUCCGGGAGACACACGGCGGGUGCUAACGUCCGUCGUGAAAAGGGAAACAACCCAGACCCACAGCUAAGGUCCCAAAUUCACUGCUAAGUGGAAAACGAUGUGGAAAGGCAUAGACAGCCAGGAGGUUGGCUUAGAAGCAGCCACCCUUUAAAGAAAGCGUAAUAGCUCACUGGUCGAGUCGGUCUGCGCGGAAGAUUUAACGGGGCUAAGCAGUGAACCGAAGCUUGGGGUGCGUAAAACUUCGGUUUUAUGCGCGGUAGAGGAGCGUUCCGUAAGCCUGCGAAGGUGGAUUGAGAAGUCUGCUGGAGGUAUCGGAAGUGCGAAUGCUGACAUGAGUAACGAUAAUGCGGGUGAAAAGCCCGCACGCCGAAAGCCCAAGGUUUCCUUGCGCAACGUUAAUCGACGCAGGGUUAGUCGGUCCCUAAGGCGAGGGCGAAAGCCGUAGUCGAUGGGAAGCAGGUUAAUAUUCCUGCACCUCGCGUGAGUGCGAUGGAGGGACGGAGAAGGUUAGGUGUACCGGGCGUUGGUUGUCCCGGGGAAAGGCGGUAGGUUUGGAUCUUUGGCAAAUCCGGGAUCCUUUAAGACCGAGCACCGAGACGAGCCUUUAUGGCGAAGUCACUGAUACCACGCUUCCAGGAAAAGCUCCUAAGCUUCAGCUCACGAAGACCGUACCGUAAACCGACACAGGUGGGUAGGAUGAGAAUUCUCAGGCGCUUGAGAGAACUCGGGUGAAGGAACUAGGCAACAUGGCACCGUAACUUCGGGAGAAGGUGCACCCUUUUUGGUGGCUCAUGCGAGCUAUAGCUGAAGAGGGUCGCAGAAACCAGGCCGCUGCGACUGUUUAUCAAAAACACAGCACUCUGCAAACACGAAAGUGGACGUAUAGGGUGUGACGCCUGCCCGGUGCUGGAAGGUUAAUUGAUGGGGUCAGCCGCAAGGCGAAGCUCUUGAUCGAAGCCCCAGUAAACGGCGGCCGUAACUAUAACGGUCCUAAGGUAGCGAAAUUCCUUGUCGGGUAAGUUCCGACCUGCACGAAUGGCGUAACGACAGCGGCGCUGUCUCCACCCGAGACUCAGUGAAAUUGAAAUCGCUGUGAAGAUGCAGCGUUCCCGUGGCAAGACGGAAAGACCCCGUGAACCUUUACUAUAGCUUUACACUGAACGUUGAGUUCGUCUGUGUAGGAUAGGUGGGAGGCUAUGAAACUGUGGCGCUAGCUGCAGUGGAGCCAUCCUUGAAAUACCACCCUGUCGUGCUUGACGUUCUAACCUAGGUCCGUUAUCCGGAUCAGGGACCGUGUAUGGUGGGUAGUUUGACUGGGGCGGUCUCCUCCUAAAGAGUAACGGAGGAGCACGAAGGUACGCUCAGCGCGGUCGGACAUCGCGCACUGUGUGCAAAGGCAUAAGCGUGCUUGACUGCAAGAUCGACGGAUCAAGCAGGUACGAAAGUAGGUCUUAGUGAUCCGGUGGUUCUGUAUGGAAGGGCCAUCGCUCAACGGAUAAAAGGUACUCCGGGGAUAACAGGCUGAUACCGCCCAAGAGUUCAUAUCGACGGCGGUGUUUGGCACCUCGAUGUCGGCUCAUCACAUCCUGGGGCUGUAGUCGGUCCCAAGGGUAUGGCUGUUCGCCAUUUAAAGUGGUACGCGAGCUGGGUUCAGAACGUCGUGAGACAGUUCGGUCCCUAUCUGCCAUGGGCGUUGGAAGUUUGAGAGGGGCUGCUCCUAGUACGAGAGGACCGGAGUGGACGAACCUCUGGUGUUCCGGUUGUCACGCCAGUGGCAUUGCCGGGUAGCUAUGUUCGGAAGCGAUAACCGCUGAAAGCAUCUAAGCGGGAAGCGCGCCUCAAGAUGAGACUUCCCGGGGCACAAGCCCCCUAAAGGAACCAUGUAGACUACGUGGUUGAUAGGUCAGGUGUGUAAGUACAGCAAUGUAUUGAGCUAACUGAUACUAAUGAUCCGUGCGGCUUGACCAUAUAACU